GCCUGUUAACUCGAUUCAGUAGUGUUCCAGAGGAGGGUGAGUUUAGGGAAAGACGGAGCCACCCUGUCAAUCACAAUUAAGAAACCAUGGGAGUAAACUGGUAGGAAAGCUAGGCGAAACCACCGUGUUUACGGUCGAGCUUGUUUUAAUUUGCGUUCAGACGACAACUAUGCACCGGUACAGUGUGGGACAUACACAUCCGACCUCUCCAGAUGGGAAUCGCUUCACUUUGACGGGAAUUAGCAUGAGACGUUAAAUAUAACAACAAAAAAACUUGCCGACUUUCAUUUGUCUGCGCCUGUUUUUUUCUUUUUUCCUCUUUUUUUUGCCCCCACAGACUUCCAGUUUGAACAAAAUACAAAAGUCACCGUUGAUAUUGUUCGAAAGGCGGUGCCGCCGGGGGUUUAUGUUUACUCCAAGCUAAGGAGACACGUUUAUUUGAGUACAACUCGUGGAAAUCUGGUCUGUGCAUUUCACAGAACUGCCGUGUCGGCGAGUCGACUUUCGGAGGAGUGACGGUACAAGAAGACACUCCCGAAAACAACCAGCGCCAAGCGUCAAUCCGGGCUCAAACUCCAGGGAGAGCAAGAAAAGGAGCAGAAAUGAGCGGGGGAGAGGUGGUGUGCUCGGGGUGGCUGAGAAAGUCUCCUCCUGAAAAAAAGUUGAGACGUUACGCAUGGAAGAAGCGGUGGUUUGUUCUUCGCAGUGGCCGUCUGACAGGCGACCCAGACGUGUUGGAGUACUACAAGAAUGACCAUGCCAAGAAGCCCAUUCGUGUGAUUGACCUCAACUUGUGUGAACAGGUGGAUGCCGGUCUGACCUUCAGCAAGAAAGAUUUGGAGAACAGCUACAUAUUCGACAUCAAAACCUUUGACCGCAUCUUUUAUCUGGUGGCUGACACCGAAGACGAGAUGAAUAAGUGGGUCCGCCACAUCUGCGACAUUUGUGGUUUUAACCCCACCGAUGACGAUGCAGCAAAAGCUGCUCACCAGUCCGCCAUGGGACUGGUGGUGGAAAACGCCCCACACCCAGGUCCAGGAGUGUUUACCAAUGUGCCGGCCCCUUACCAGCCAGUCAGCGUGCGACACCUGGACUCACAGUCCAGUUCAGAGGAGCCCCAGGAUUACCUGUGGCUUGCUAACUGUGAGAGCAAAAAGCCUGAACCCAGCAGAGCUCAUGCUGAGUGCUCCAAGUCUACCUCUUCAGAGACAGACCUGAAUGACAACCUUCCAUCUCACCGCACGCCUACAUCCUCCACUUCCUCGGCUAAACACACCUCACACAAUGGCUUCUUCCCACCGCACCAGACUCCUGUGUCCGCCCCUUCCAUCUAUGACUCGCCUCCAUCACGCGGUGCCUCACUCUCAACUGACAGCGGCUUUUAUCAUCUUCCUCGCAGCUACUCCCAGGACACUGUGCUGCUCCCCAAGUCAGCCUCCUCCCCUCCGGCUCAUCCAGACGGCGCGGAUGCCUCUGACCUUUAUGUCUUCAACACGCCGACACGGAAGCCCUCAGUGGAGACACAGAUGCGCAACGUUUCUAUCAGUUACGACAUCCCGCCCACACCCGGUGCAAACAGCACCUACCAAGUGCCCCGCACAGUAUCGAACACAGGGGUAGGAGGCUCAGAAAGCGGGGGAGAUGUAGUGCCUCCUCCCAGACCACCCAAGCCUUCCCUCAGUUCCAGCUCAGGACUCCCGCCGCCUCCUGCUGAGCGCUCACCUACAGACACCUAUAGUGUGCCUCGAUCAGCCUCAGAGACAGAUGGAAACUACUGUGUGCCCACAAGCGCUGGGAGUAAGGCUUUACGCAGCAACACUAUUGGCACUGUGGACUGUUCACGCCUCCGCAAAGACUUUGGAUCCCAGGACUGCUAUGACAUUCCUAGAUCAUUCCCUUCUGACAAAAGCUGCUCGUUUGACUUCAAUGAAAGCUUCAACACCUAUUUUAAAAGCAAAGGAAUGAUGCCAGUGGGUAGCCAUUCUGCAGAAGAGGUCGACCAAAACUACGUGCCCAUGAGUGCCAACUCACCGUCACAUCAUCACUCGGGCAGUUUGCCAGAGCCAAUGCACGAAACCAACUACGUCCCCAUGACCCCAGGUACUAUGGAGUUCUCAUCCCUGGGAAAACAGGUUCCUCCACCCGCCCACAUGGGAUUUCGCUCAAGCCCAAAGACCCCUCCCCGCAGGCCGCUGCUUAGUGAGUGCCAGCCCCCACCUGUGGACCGAAAUCUCAAACCCGAUCGCAAAGGUCACAGUCCUAAAAUAAUAAGAGCGGGUUUAGAGCGAACAGACUCUCAAACCGUAGGUGAAUUCCCAAGUCGACGACGCAAGGUAAAACCUGCUCCACUAGAGAUCAAACCAGUGCCAGAAUGGGAUGAGCCAAGCACGCCUGUUCGCUCACCUGUGACACGGUCGUUCGCUCGAGAUCCUUCUAGGUUUCCAAUGCCAACGAGACCCCCGUCAGUGCAUAGCACGGCCUCCAGCACUGACUCCGAGGACUCUACUGAACCGAAUUACGUAGCCAUGAACCCUAAUAUGUCCACAGAUGAAGCAAUCACGAAGCUUGCUCCGCCCAUGAAUGCUGAUGGUGGGAGUAGCCCUGUGGUAAAACCGAAGGGAGACAAACAGGUAGAAUACCUGGACUUGGAUCUCGAUUCCGGCAAGUCUACCCCACCUAGGAAGAUGAAAAGCAACGGAACUGGCAUCACAGCAUCAGACGAGCGUGUCGACUAUGUAGUUGUGGACCAGCAACGAACACAGGCCCUUAAGAGCACCCGGGAGGCCUGGAGCGAUGGCCGCCAAUUGACAGAGACAGAUACCCCCUCUAAAGGACCCAAGUGACCCUGUUGUCCCAACAAUACAACCCCAUCACUCAACCCACUCUAAACUACCAAAACGCCACAGCUUCCACACUAAUGCUGGUUCUGGUUUUCCUUUUGGGACGAUCCAGCUGUCCCGUUCCAACCUAACAAGAUCCCUAGUGUGUAAGAGCCAGUGGAGCGUCAUAGCCACUCAACGUUGUUUAGUUUACACUGCUGUCGGGCUUAAAGGAGCGCUGUGUGUACAGCUGUAGAAAGGGGCGUGGUCCAGGAAUAAGCUGUAUGCAGUUUGAGAGCAUGUGGAAAGACUGGACUUGUUUGCAGGAUUUGACCUGAGCAGACUCACCAACUCUGAACAUUCACUGCCUUCUUUACGGAUUAGUUAUGUCGUCGUUCACCUUUCAGCGGCCUGUGGGCUGAUCCAGAGUUAACAUUUCCUAAAAAUUGUAAUGCUGUUUGAUGUCGUUUUGGAGUGCAAGUGAAAACACUUUAUAACAUGAUCACAGCUCUGUCAGCGCAACACUAAAAGUUAGCAUAGCACGUUAACGGUGUUGUGUUUUUGUUUUUGUUUUUUUGUUUUCCUGCUGUUUGAGCAGGGUGAAGUUACCAUGGACACUGUUAGCAGCUCAGGAAACUGACCCCGAACUGUGUCUAAGGCGAACUUCAAACCGGAAAGCCAGUACGACAAAAUUUCAGAGAAGCAUUACUUUAGAUUUUUCUUCCACUUGCUUAGGCACCUGUACUAAAAUUCAAGCUUCGGAUUCACUUGAGGUUUUUAAUCCACUGAACAUGAUUCGAUUUCCAUUUAUUCAGUAAGUGGAGAUGCUUCGAUCUGUUGUAAUGGAAGUGCAAAGACUGUACAAUAGUGUUAUGUAUAUAAACAGGAAAAGUGUCCUUUGUUUGUAUGGAAUAUCCAGCAUGUUUGACUCUAAGGUAUAUGGAUUCUGCAGGGUAGAAUCCCGUACCUGACUCGAUGGUAUCAGCACUUGUGAUAAAUGAAUGAAUUACUGUGAGUUUUUAAAAGAACGUGACAGGUUUUCUCUAAGUUAUGCAAAGGUAUCAAAGUGAGAGAGAGAGAAAGAGAGAGAGAAAAAUCAGGUACUCUUUAUGAAUGCAUAUUAAUGCAACUUUCCAUUUCUAAUUUAUUUCUCGAGUUAUUGUAUCAGGUGGAUGUCUUGUCCAUCUUUUUCCUUUUUUUUAGCUCAGUAUUGAUUGAUAUGGAGGAACAUUUGCUAAAGUCUGCUAAAAUGCUUAGUUUGACAAGCGGUCAAUUAGUUUCACAGGUUCAUUUCUCCUUUCUCUUCCUCAUUUCUCUCUCCACUUAGGUUUAAUUUAUUUUAAAUUGAACUGGCAUACAGUUUUGGGAAAUUGACUGCCUCGUGCAGUCAACUUGAUGCAUAUUUUAGAGACAGAAAGUCUUCGCCGGCAUACAUCCCUGCUUUACUUGACUUGACUGUCGGCUCUCGCGCAGAAAUCCCAAGCAUGUGCUGCCACGUGAUUUUAAAAAAACAAAGAAACAACUCAUAGCUGUACAUAUUUUGCCAUCAAUUAGAUUUAACAUGUAUCGUUUGAAAGAUGUGCCUACUAAGUCAUCUUCCUUCUACUUCACUCUUUCCUUUAUUGCAGUCUCUUUGUGAAAUGGACUGCAAAGCUGAUGAUGCUUUAUCUUUUUUAAUGAAUCUCAAGAGAAAUGUACAUUUUAAAAGUGGACUAAAUAAAAUCCAGCCUCAAACCCAUCUACAAGUGACCUGCUUGUUUUCUGGGGUUUCGCUUCCUGUUGUGAAUGUUUUAUGUUCUUUGCACUUCUUUCUGUAAUUUUUCCAAUCAUAGAACAAUUAAAGAAAUCAUUUCUCUUA